AUGAAAGACCUCGGUGAAGCUUCUUACAUAUUGGGCAUCAAGAUUUAUAGAGAUAGAUCAAGAUGCUUAAUUGGACUUUCACAAAGUACAUACCUUGAUAAAGUUUUGAAAAAGUUCAAAAUAGAGGCAAAGAAAGGGUUCUUGCCCGUGCUACAAGGUGUGAAAUUGAGUCAGACUCAAUGCCCGACCACAGCAGAAGAUAGAGAGAAAAUGAAAGAUGUUCCCUAUGCUUCAGCCAUAGGCUCUAUCAUGUAUGCAAUGCUGUGUACCAGACCUAACAUGUGCUUAGCAAUAAGCUUGGCAGGAAGGUACCAAAGCAAU
rnacentral:rRNA from 1 species